rnacentral:snRNA from 15 species
CGAUUCCCCCAAACGUGGGGAACUCGGGCGUAUUAUUUAUGGUAGCGGAGAUCUGCGUUCGCGCUAUCUCCUA